rnacentral:rRNA from 1 species
GAGUGAACGCUGGCGGCAGGCCUAACACAUGCAAGUCGAACGGCAGCACAAGAGAGCUUGCUCUCUGGGUGGCGAGUGGCGGACGGGUGAGGAAUGCAUCGGAAUCUGCCCAUUUGUGGGGGAUAACCUCGGGAAACCGGGACUAAUACCGCAUACGACCUACGGGUGAAAGCAGGGGAUCUUCGGACCUUGCGCAGAUGGAUGAGCCGAUGCCGGAUUAGCUAGUUGGAGGGGUAAAGGCCCACCAAGGCGACGAUCCGUAGCUGGUCUGAGAGGAUGAUCAGCCACACUGGGACUGAGACACGGCCCAGACUCCUACGGGAGGCAGCAGUGGGGAAUAUUGGACAAUGGGCGCAAGCCUGAUCCAGCCAUGCCGCGUGUGUGAAGAAGGCCUUCGGGUUGUAAAGCACUUUUGUUGGGAAAGAAAAGCAGCCGGUUAAUACCCGGUUGUCAUGACGGUACCCAAAGAAUAAGCACCGGCUAACUUCGUG